rnacentral:rRNA from 1 species
UAAUACGUAGGGAGCAAGCGUUGUCCGGAAUCAUUGGGCGUAAAGCGCGCGUAGGUGGCUCUAUAAGUCCGUUGUGAAAGUCAAAGGCUCAACCUUUGAAAGCCGAUGGAUACUGUAGAGCUAGAGUCCGGAAGAGGCGAGUGGAAUUCCUGGUGUAGCGGUGGAAUGCGCAGAUAUCAGGAGGAACACCAAUAGCGAAGGCAGCUCGCUGGGACGUGACUGACACUAAGGCGCGAAAGCGUGGGGAGCGAACAGGAUUAGAUACCCUGGUAGUCCACGCCGUAAACGAU